rnacentral:rRNA from 1 species
GAUGAACGCUGGCGGCGUGCCUAAUACAUGCAAGUCGAGCGAACAGACGAGGAGCUUGCUCCUCUGACGUUAGCGGCGGACGGGUGAGUAACACGUGGAUAACCUACCUAUAAGACUGGGAUAACUUCGGGAAACCGGAGCUAAUACCGGAUAAUAUAUUGAACCGCAUGGUUCAAUAGUGAAAGACGGUUUUGCUGUCACUUAUAGAUGGAUCCGCGCCGCAUUAGCUAGUUGGUAAGGUAACGGCUUACCAAGGCGACGAUGCGUAGCCGACCUGAGAGGGGGGCCGGCCACAGAGGAAGUGAGACAGGGUCCAGACUCCGACGGGGGCCAGACGCGGGGAAUAUGCAGCAGUGGGGAAAAGCGUACAAGGGGAACGCGGCGGAGGUAGAGAAGGCUUGCGGGGGGUAAAACCCUUUUGGUUGGAAAAAACAAAUGCGAAAGAAAAAGCGCCCGUGUGGCGGGACCUUAAUAAGAAGCCCCGGCUAAAUACGUG